rnacentral:rRNA from 1 species
UGUUUCGGCAAGGGGGUCAUCCCGACUUACCAACCCGAUGCAAACUGCGAAUACCGGAGAAUGUUAUCACGGGAGACACACGGCGGGUGCUAACGUCCGUCGUGAAGAGGGAAACAACCCAGACCGCCAGCUAAGGUCCCAAAGUCAUGGUUAAGUGGGAAACGAUGUGGGAAGGCCCAGACAGCCAGGAUGUUGGCUUAGAAGCAGCCAUCAUUUAAAGAAAGCGUAAUAGCUCACUGGUCGAGUCGGCCUGCGCGGAAGAUGUAACGGGGCUAAACCAUGCACCGAAGCUGCGGCAGCGACACUAUGUGUUGUUGGGUAGGGGAGCGUUCUGUAAGCCUGUGAAGGUGUACUGUGAGGUAUGCUGGAGGUAUCAGAAGUGCGAAUGCUGACAUAAGUAACGAUAAAGCGGGUGAAAAGCCCGCUCGCCGGAAGACCAAGGGUUCCUGUCCAACGUUAAUCGGGGCAGGGUGAGUCGACCCCUAAGGCGAGGCCGAAAGGCGUAGUCGAUGGGAAACAGGUUAAUAUUCCUGUACUUGGUGUUACUGCGAAGGGGGGACGGAGAAGGCUAUGUUGGCCGGGCGACGGUUGUCCCGGUUUAAGCGUGUAGGCUGGUUUUCCAGGCAAAUCCGGAAAAUCAAGGCUGAGGCGUGAUGACGAGGCACUACGGUGCUGAAGCAACAAAUGCCCUGCUUCCAGGAAAAGCCUCUAAGCAUCAGGUAACAUCAAAUCGUACCCCAAACCGACACAGGUGGUCAGGUAGAGAAUACCAAGGCGCUUGAGAGAACUCGGGUGAAGGAACUAGGCAAAAUGGUGCCGUAACUUCGGGAGAAGGCACGC